rnacentral:rRNA from 1 species
AAUUUUUGACAAUGGGGGAAACCCUGAUCGAGCGACGCCGCGUGGAGGAUGAAGGUCUUCGGAUUGUAAACUCCUGUCAUUGGGGAACAAGGUGCAUACGUUAACUGCGUGUGCAUUGAUAGUACCCGAAGAAGAAGCCCCGGCUAACUUCGUGCCAGCAGCCGCGGUAAUACGAAGGGGGCUAGCGUUGCUCGGAAUGACUGGGCGUAAAGGGCGCGUAGGCGGAUGGCACAGUCAGAUGUGAAAUUCCCGGGCUCAACCUGGGGGCUGCAUUUGAUACGUGUUAUCUAGAGUGAGGAAGAGGGUCGUGGAAUUCCCAGUGUAGAGGUGAAAUUCGUAGAUAUUGGGAAGAACACCGGUGGCGAAGGCGGCGACCUGGUCCUUUUACUGACGCUGAGGCGCGAAAGCGUGGGGAGCAAAC